UACUCAGUUCGGAUUGAAGGCUGAAAUUCGCCUUCAUGAAGCUGGAAUUGCUAGUAAUGGCAGGUCAGCAUACUGCCGUGAAUACGUUCCCGGGCCUUGUACACACCGCCCGUCACACCAUGAGAGUUGGAAAUACCCGAAGCCUGUGAGCUAACUCUUAGAGGCAGCAGUCGAAGGUAGAGCCAAUGAUUGGGGUGAAGUCGUAACAAGGUAAC
rnacentral:rRNA from 1 species